AAAACAUAUAUAAAAAAAAAAAAUAUUUAGAUCAACACUCUUGGCUUCCCCUUUUGGAAUAGUUGGUUCUAGAUGUUUGUAAAAAUGUCACUGAGAGUAGUUUUGCUUUGGAGAAGUUAAGUUCAAAGUGUCCCAAUCUGAGGGAUGUUAAGUUUGGUCAGUUUAUAGGGAUUUUCUUAACAAUUGGGUCACAACUUGACGGAAUUUCCCUUUGCCAUUGGCUUCAAUCCUUGUCUGUUAGUAGCUGCGUUGACCUUGAUGACAUGGGGUUAAUUGAGAUUGCCAGAGUGUUUUCACGGUUGGUGAGGUUUGAGCUUCAGGGCUGCAAGCUUGUUACUGAAAAAGCGUUAAGGACUAUGAUUUGCUUGCUUCGAAGGAUUUGAUUGAUGUCAAAUUUGCUAAUUGCGUUAACCUUGAUGCUUCUGCGACUCUCGAAGCUUCGAAACCCAUUCGAGACCGGAUUGAGCGGUUUCACUGGACUAUGUGUGGAAGGUAGAGACAAGAAAUGCAACACCAUUGAAGGACAUUAACACCUCAAAUGAAACUUGGAAAAUAGCAGUUAGGGUAACAAAUUACUUCACUGUUGUUAGUAAAAAUGGGAAUGUGCACGAUGAAGUUAUUUUGAUGGAUCAACAGGUCUACAUUUUAACUUUUUAUUUAUGUUUGGUUAACAAAUAUCUUCAUUCUAUUGGUUAGUAUCUCAUUUUAUAAAUGAUUUGUUAUUAAAAGCCUGAUCAUAUACAUGUUGUUAUUAAAAGGCGGAUCAAAUACAUGUUGUUAUACAACAACAUGAUUCGGUUAAAUGGAGGGGCAAACUCAAAGAGAAUCAAACAUACAUCAUCCAUAACUUUUCAGUUUUUCCAAGUACUUUCCAGUUCAAAUAUUGCCUCCAUGAAUUCAAAAUUGUUUUCAAUUCGGCUACUUUUGAAGAAGAGAUUGAUCUCCCUGAAAUCCCACCGACUCAGUAUCAUUUUGUAUCUUUUAGCACCAUUUUGAAUGGGAAGAACCCUCAUAACAACUUAAUUGAUAUUAUUGGGGUAGUGGAUGAGGUCAUUUCUUCAACUUCAACAUCAUCAACAACAAAAAUUUGUGUCACCGUCAAAAUCAAAGAUAUCAGAUAACAACAAUAUUUACAUUUAAUUAAUAUAAUAUACAAAGCAUGUUUCAAAUGAUAUUAUUCAUUUGAUCACCAGAAACAUCAUUACUUGCUCCCUAUGGGAGGCUUAUGGUACACAAUUCCUCAAUUCUGUUAAUGCUCGCCCCAACUCUGGUCCCAUCAUUAUAAUCUUCCACCAUGCACGGGUCAAGCCUCCAUAAGGUAACCUGCAAUAGAUGAUAUCGAUAACUACAUUCAGGGCAGUCAACUACAAACUCAAAUCACAUAUUUAUCUCAGUACACUUCACAAGAGAAGUUUAUGUACAAUGCUCAAGCUAAAACUCUUCGCCAAAUCAAGGCUAUUGGACAUGUAACUAUAAUUUCAUAACACUAUUUUUAUGUAGAUAUAUACAUUAUUUAAUUGUUACAAUUUUUUUAAUUACAAUAUUUUUUUUUAGAAAAUGAGUUGUGUCACUGUGGCAACUUUGUCAAAGGUUGUGCCAAACAAAUUCAGUUGGUUUUAUCUUGGUUGCACUAAUUGCACAGUCAAAGCUAAAGAAUGGAUUACAAAUUAUCAAUGUAAAUGUGGUGUUCAAGUUGACGAACCAAUUCCAAGGUACAUCAAACUUUAAUAGGUGGUGUUUUUUAUAUUUUAGAAGUAUGUAAUUUCAUUUGUUCUUCAUAAUUCAAAAUAUAAGGUCCAAUCAAAGUAAAACUAAAUAGUUACAAUUUUCUAACUUAUAUGCAUAUGGAAUAAAUUAGAAACAAUUUGUAUAUUAUUAAGGGUUAGUGUUACUAUAUGAAAGGUUUUCUCUUAACCGUUGUAUAAGGAUAUGAAUUUGUUCGCAAACUAAAAGCAAAUAGCCCAUAAGAGUAGUUCAAUAUUCAACCUUAAUUUAUCAGAAUUUAUAAAUCAAUAUUAGAGUCCUUAUAUCAAAUACUUAUUGGUAUCAAUACUAACAACAUAAAACAGCUACAAAAUGAUCAUUGAAGUUUUCCACGAUAAUUGCUUUUGUAACUUCCUUAUGUGGGACCAGGAUUGUACUUCACUACUUGGAAUUUCAGCAUUUCAAAUGAGGAAGAAUAUGAUUGAGGCAUGUAUAUAAUACUUAGUCCAAGUAACUUGAUAGUUUGGAUAUUUAUUGUUUACCACAUAAUAUGACAUAACUCAUUUACCUGAAACAUGUUAAAGGCUGGUGAUACUGACAUAAGGAUAUAUCCAUUAGAACUUCAAGAUAUAAUUGGGACCACUCUAGCUUUUCGUGUAAAACUACAAUCAUCUUCAAAACAAUGUUAUGUUAAUAAGUCAUGGAGUGAUGCUGCACUUAUUGCUGUAAUUAAGGAACAAUUUCAAAUUAAAGAGGUAUUCAAACCACAUAUUAUCUUAUUGUAUAUUCUAAUUGUAAUAAAUUAUAUAUAUUAAAAAUUGCACAACUUAAAUUGAUAGAAGUCCAUUUUUAGAACAAAUCUAACGGAGAACUGAGUCGUGAACUUCUUAGUCAAGAAAUACUAUCUGACAUUCAAUCAUUAUCAAUGACCGGUGAAAACGAUAUUGAAAAUGUUCAGUUAGCUACACCGGCUAAAAGGCCUCCAACUGAUGACCAACAAGAAAAUGCGGGUAACGAUGCAAUUGCAAUUGCAAGUGCCCAACUAUCAUCAUCAAAACCACUCAAGAAAAUCAAAUGUGAAUAGGAACUAUAAUGAAAUUAUAUGCUACAUAGUUGAUGAUGACAUCAAUUAUGUUAAAAACUAUUAUUAUAUGUUGUAAUCCUAAGGUCUAAUUAUGUUUUGGUGUCAUGAAGUCUGAAUCAUGGGAUAUAUAUUAUCAAAUCAUGUCUUGUUGUAAACACUAAACACAAGUACACUUUUUGGUUCAAUG